ACAAUAUAUGGUACCAAAGGAACAAUAGAGAUUGGUGAAAGUUUCUGGACCCCCCUGGAGGCCACUUUUCCCUCCGGUAAAAUGACCCUUGAGCCUCUCACUGGACCAGUGCCAUACAACUUCAUCAACAGUGGGGGACUGAGAUACGAGGCCGACUGCUUCAAAGAAUGUCUCGAAGCAGGGGAGUUAGAAUGCAGGGAAGUGUCAUUCACAGACAGCCAAGCCAUUUACCAAAUUAUUGAUGAAAUUGUGAAGCAGACUGGAAUGAAAGUGAAUUGGUAAUUCCAGUAGUGCAUCAAUGGAAGUAUUCCAAUUAAAGAUGUGAUAAAUAAAAUCUUAAUGAAAUAAGAUCGUGUGGGACUUACAGCUUUAAUUAGUGUUAGAUUGGUGCUUAUGAACUCAAUACCGUACUUACAAAGUAUUAGAAAGGUGCUUAUUUACAAUCAUUUUUAAUUACAUAUACUAAUAAUAUAUAUGAUGAUGAAUGUAAAAAAAAAUAUUUACAUUAUUAUUUUUUAUUUGCAUUUAUACAAUUUUUUAUAAACAUUACAUUGUUGAUGUAAACAUUACAUUUUUGACGUAAUACUUUAUUUUAUUAAGUAUUUUCUAUUUGAAACCUCAGGUAAAAUGUCCAACUUUCAUAAAAGUGAAUACUGUGUACAGGGAAAUUUUCGCCCCCCGUUUUAUUUUUACCCCUUUCGCCUUUGUUGGAAGUGGGUGAAUUUAAAACAGGACGAAUUCAAAGUGAAUAGUGUAAUAUCUUAAACGAAAAUCUUUCUGGGUGAAUUUAAAAUGGGGGCAAACUUGUUUCCAAAUGUGAAAGGGCAAAAAUAACACGGGGCGAAAAUAACCGUGUACAGAAAGUCUUAAGUAUUUUCAAGUUCAAUGUUUUAGACCUUGGAAAGGUCUGCUAAGGUUACUGAUAGAUUUUUGAAUAUCUCUUGUAAGUAAAAAAAAAAUAAUUUUAAUAAUAAAUUUUCAAAAUUCUGCUCCAAUUUGUUUUUCUCAAGAAAAAAGAAUGACAGUAUGUAUUUUGAUUUUUAAAUUUUAUUACAAUAACUUAUAAGCAUCACAAAAUGAUACAGAUGAAAAAUGUUUCACUGAUGUCAAAAAUUAAAGUUGUAGAAUAGGAAAACUUUAUUAGAUGGUGUUUGAGGCAAUUCUCUAAAUAAAAAAAAAAUUGUAAUAAUACACAAAAUAAUUGUAUUCAUGCAAUCUGAAUAUUCUGAUCAAGAUUUUUAAAAUGUUUGUUAGACAUUUAUAAAUUAUUCCGUUUAUUUUACAUGAUUAUUGUGUAUCAGUUGUGAUCAUUGAUUUGAAUAAAAUUCACUUUGAUUGCCC